rnacentral:rRNA from 1 species
GACGAACGCUGGCGGCGUGCCUAAUACAUGCAAGUCGAGCGAAGCUGAGGUUGGGUGAGUAACGCGUGGGAAACCUGCCCUUAAGUCUGGCAUCACAUUUGGAAACAGAUGCUAAUACCGGAUACUAAAGGAUGGACCUGCGAUGCAUUAGCUAGUUGGUAAGGUAACGGAUUACCAAGGCGAUGAUGCACAGCCGGGUUGAGAGACUGAUCGGCCACAUUGGGACUGAGACACGGCCCAAACUCCUACGGGAGGCAGCAGUAGGGAAUCUUCCACAAUGGACGAAAGUCUGAUGGGGCAACGCCGCGUGAGUGAAGAAGGUUUUCGGAUCGUAAAGCUCUGUUGUUGGUGAAGCGGUAAUCAACCAGAAAGUCACGGCUAACUACGUGCCAGCCGCCGCGGUAAUUC